rnacentral:rRNA from 1 species
UACGAAGGGUGCAAGCGUUGUUCGGAUUUAUUGGGCGUAAAGCGCGCGCAGGCGGAUUAUUAAGCCAGAUGUGAAAUCUCGGGGCUCAACUCCGAAAGUGCGUCUGGAACUGGUAGUCUAGAAUAAUGGAGAGGGAGAGGGAAUUUCUCAUGUAGGGGUAAAAUCCGUAGAGAUGAGAAGGAACACCGGGUGCGAAAGCGCUCUCCUGGACAUUUAUUGACGCUGAGGCGCGAAAGCGUGGGGAUCAAACAGG